rnacentral:tRNA from 1 species
GGAGGGAUGGCCGAGCGGUCGAAGGCGGCGGUCUUGAAAACCGUUAGCGGGGAAACUCGCUCCUGGGUUCGAAUCCCAGUCCCUCCGCCA